GGAUGCUCAGGGUGGGAUUUUUGGGGUGUCUGCAGGGCCGGGAGUUCCCUACGGGUCCCUCGCAGCUCAGGAUAUUUAUUCCAGCAUUCUGUAAUCCAGGCUCGGCCGGGUUUGGCACAUCCCCACUGCGAGGGGAGAAACGGGCUGGGGGUGCAGGGCUGGACCAGUAUUCCCAGCACGGACUACCGUGGAGCACUGCCCCCAGCAUGGACCACUGCCUCCAGCAUGGAGCUCUGCCCCAGCAAAUUCCAGUAUUCCCAGCCUGGAUCACCAUGGACCACUGGUCCCACAGUAGCAUGGACCACCAUGGACCACUGCCCCAGCACAUUCCAGAAUUCCCAGCAUGGACCACCAGCCCAGCAAGGACCAUCAGCCCCGCCCAGCACAUUCCAGAAUUCCCAGCACGGACCACCAUGGACCACGGAUCAUCUCUAGCAUGGACCACCAUGGACCCACUGCGCCAGCACAUUCCAGAAUUCCCAGCAUGGACCACCAUGGACCACGGAUCAUCCCUAGCAUGGACCACCAUGGACCCACUGCCCCAGCACAUUCCAGAAUUCCCAGCAUGGACCACCAUGGACCACGGAUCAUCCCUAGCAUGGACCACCAUGGACCCACUGCCCCAGCACAUUCCAGAAUUCCCAGCAUGGACCACCAUGGACCACGGAUCAUCCCUAGCAUGGACCACCAUGGACCCACUGCCCCAGCACAUUCCAGAAUUCCCAGCAUGGACCACCAUGGACCACGGAUCAUCCCUAGCAUGGACCACCAUGGACCCACUGCCCCAGCACAUUCCAGAAUUCCCAGCAUGGACCACCAUGGACCACGGAUCAUCCCUAGCAUGGACCACCAUGGACCCCCUCCCCAGCACGCACCACUGCCUGGUCUCAGUACACCCCCCUGCCUCAGCAUGUCCCAGCAUGGACCACCAUCCCCAGCACAGCCCCCAGCCCCAGCAUGGAGCACCUCAGAGCAGCUCCCUGAGCCCCAGCACAGCUUGGAGAGCAGCAGGACACUGGAUGGGUUUGGGCCCUGGUUCCACAUCCCAUGAGGGCCCAGCCCCCUCCCUGCCCCAGGGAUCACCACAGCUGCAUUUUCCAGUGGGGAAACUGAGGCACACAGUGACAGCACUUUGGCUGAGCUGAGCCUGUGCCAGAGCAGGGACCUGGAGCCAGCCCUGGGGGAUCAGCCAGGUGAGGGGCACCCACAGCUCCUGGGAAUCACCUGGCACUGCCCCUGCCUUGGCUGUUCAGGGCAGGGAGGCUCCACCUCCCUCUCAGGCCAGCAAGGACCAAGCCCUGAGAGGAGAAAUGCCAUGGACUGGAACCAGGCACUCCAGCCUGGAGAGACAGGAUGAUCCAGGAGCCUCACCACUUGUGCAAGGAGAGAUGGGAAGCUCAAGGGCAAUGCCAGGAACAAUUGGGUGAUGCAGAGAAAGGUGCACAAGGAGGAGCUGGCCUUGGCCAAAGGGAGGGACAAGGGAAAGAUUGCAGAAGUUGUGUUUUGUAAUAGUCUUAAGUGAGAAAAAACCUACUUUGUUUUCCAAAUUGGGCACAUGUUGCUGCCUCCCCCCUGCCCAUUGCUCCCUCAUCAUCCCAGCAGAGUCCAGGAGAAGAGGAUACCAGGAGAGGAACCCAACACUGAGCAGAACCAGCAGCUGCUGACCCUGGGGAACCUGAAUAAUCCAUAAAAAGCAGGAAACCCCAGGAGGUGAGUUGCCUUCCCUGCAGCAGAAGCCUGGCCCUGGCACAAGGUGCUGUCCUGGGGGAGGGCUGUGCUGAGAUCCCCACCCACACCUCCCCAGCCAGUUCCCCUCUCCCACCAGGCCUGGGAGAGCAAGCUCAUCUUCCCCCCACAAAAACAGAGUGGUUUUAUUUUUAUGGUAUGAUUAAAUCUAUUUUAUAGAACUUCAGCUGUAACAGAGAAGCUUCAAGAAACACACACACACAAAAAAACCCAGAUACACGGGGUAUUUCCCUGCCUUAUAAUUCUCAUCCUGUGCUUCCUCAACUCACAAACCAGCAAAAUUAAAUAAAAUAAAAUAGGUAAUAAAAUAAAAUACUUGUUUCUGCCCAGACC
rnacentral:lncRNA from 12 species